AGUGAACGCUGGCGGUAGGCCUAACACAUGCAAGUCGAACGGCAGCACAGGAGAGCUUGCUCUCUGGGUGGCGAGUGGCGGACGGGUGAGGAAUACAUCGGAAUCUGCUCUGUCGUGGGGGAUAACGUAGGGAAACUUACGCUAAUACCGCAUACGACCUACGGGUGAAAGCAGGGGAUCUUCGGACCUUGCGCGAUUGAAUGAGCCGAUGUCGGAUUAGCUAGUUGGCGGGGUAAAGGCCCACCAAGGCGACGAUCCGUAGCUGGUCUGAUAGGGUGUUCAGCCACACUGGAACUGAGACACGGUCCAGACUCCUACGGGAGGCAGCAGUGGGGAAUAUUGGACAAUGGGCGCAAGCCUGAUCCAGCCAUACCGCGUGGGUGAAGAAGGCCUUCGGGUUGUAAAGCCCUUUUGUUGGGAAAGAAAUCCAGCUGGCUAAUACCCGGUUGGGAUGACGGUACCCAAAGAAUAAGCACCGGCUAACUUCGUGCCAGCCGCCGCCGUAA
rnacentral:rRNA from 1 species